rnacentral:tRNA from 1 species
AACGCGAUCCGAAUAAAAGGAAGUUCGCUGGGAUUGUAUUUCCAGAGGUACUGGUUCGACUCCAGUUCGCGACU